UUAUACCGUGAAACUGCGAAUGGCUCAUUAAAUCAGUUAUCGUUUAUUUGAUAGUACCUUACUACUUGGAUAACCGUGGUAAUUCUAGAGCUAAUACAUGCUGAAAACCCCAACUUCGGGAGGGGUGUAUUUAUUAGAUAAAAAACCAACGCCCUUCGGGGCUUCUUGGUGAUUCAUGAUAACUUUACGGAUCGCAUGGCCUUGCGCCGGCGACGGUUCAUUCAAAUUUCUGCCCUAUCAACUUUCGAUGGUAAGGUAUUGGCUUACCAUGGUUUCAACGGGUAACGGGGAAUUAGGGUUCGAUUCCGGAGAGGGAGCCUGAGAAACGGCUACCACAUCCAAGGAAGGCAGCAGGCGCGCAAAUUACCCAAUCCCGACACGGGGAGGUAGUGACAAUAAAUACUGAUACAGGGCUCUUUUGGGUCUUGUAAUUGGAAUGAGUACAAUUUAAACCUCUUAACGAGGAACAAUUGGAGGGCAAGUCUGGUGCCAGCAGCCGCGGUAAUUCCAGCUCCAAUAGCGUAUAUUAAAGUUGUUGCAGUUAAAAAGCUCGUAGUUGAACCUUGGGUCUGGCUGGCAGGUCCGCCUCACCGCGUGUACUUGUCCGGCCGGGCCUUCCUUCUGGAGAACCUCAUGCCCUUCACUGGGCGUGUUGGGGACCAGGACUUUUACUUUGAAAAAAUUAGAGUGUUCAAAGCAGGCCUUUGCUCGAAUACGUUAGCAUGGAAUAAUAGAAUAGGACGUGCGGUCCUAUUUUGUUGGUUUCUAGGACCGCCGUAAUGAUUAAUAGGGACAGUCGGGGGCAUCAGUAUUCAAUUGUCAGAGGUGAAAUUCUUGGAUUUAUUGAAGACUAACUACUGCGAAAGCAUUUGCCAAGGAUGUUUUCAUUAAUCAGUGAACGAAAGUUAGGGGAUCGAAGACGAUCAGAUACCGUCGUAGUCUUAACCGUAAACUAUGCCGACUAGGGAUCGGGCGAUGUUCUUUUUCUGACUCGCUCGGCACCUUACGAGAAAUCAAAGUUUUUGGGUC
rnacentral:rRNA from 1 species